UGGAGGAGGAGAGUGUACCUCCUCAGCACAUGGGCUGGGAGAGUGAGAAGUGGUGGUAGAUUCGGAGACAGCUGGAGUGGGGUGUCAAAGGUGAGGCAGUUUCUGAGGACAGGAACCCGUGUAUGCAACAGAAUAGCAGUGGCUGCUGACGUGGAAAGAACCAGAAGGUCAUAGGGGAGGAGACCGAAAAAGAGGCAGCAUUUUGUAAAACCAGUUCUGGGUGAGGGAGAACUAUCUUCCAUCCCGAGAGACUGGGGACGCCAUGUCUCCAAGGCAGCCCUCAGAAGGCUAGCGCUCAAACGGACUUCUCAAAGGAUCUACUUGGAGAAAGUAGGUUGCUGACUGCUUGCCUCUGAGAGCAGAAGGCACAAGGGAGAACCUGGAGAUAAGCAAGGAUCGAGGAUGAAUAUGUGAAAGAUGCAAAUUAUGGUAAGGUCUCAGAGUGUCAAUGUGAACAAAUCUCCCACAACACGGUGUCUCCAGGAGGAAGGGCAUCAGCCAUCUCUGCCACACGGACCACCACCUCCUCUAUAACGAUGGUCUCCAGAUUGCAUAGCAUUUCUGGGUUGCUGCUGUAUCGUUUUAUCAUUCACUUUAAGAAGUACACAGUACUCCAUCAUCAAGCACCCCAUAACUCAGUCACCACCCCUGUUGGAUUGUACCUUUUUUGCUUGAAGGAAGCACCCCACAGCUUCUCUGUGAUGUUUCGAGGUUGCAGCCUCGUCUCUUCCCAUUAUUAAAUCUCCUGUACUGAAGUUUUCUCCAGUCCGGCUAAGACCGUUACAUCUACAGUCUCCCGAGGGUCAUUUAAAACGAGCAUUAUCAGGAUGCACAGUUGAUCUGAAAACCGGGACAGAUACUCAGCAGCUGACAGCAUAGCACCCAGCAUGGAAUGUGGCCAAGAGAUGAGUCUUAUCCCAAGUGGGACAGAGUGGGCUAGUGUGAGAUUCCCUUAGGCUGCUCUUCCAUAUCGCUUGAUGGAAUAUUCUAUUGGGUGUGUAAAGGCUAUAGUAACUGUAGGUAAGGGGUGGAGGCUGCUAACGUUGAAGGGAUUCCUUACUCAGGAGGAGAAACUGGGUUCCUGGGGUCUCUUCCUUCAGGGCUAAGCACGGUUGGUUAACUAGAGACCAAGCCCUGGCUUGGCCCCUCCUGUACCACUUCCCAUCCAUGCCCAUAGGACAGUCUGUUCCUCAGGGCAGUGGAAAGAUCCAUCCUACCCAUAGGAACUGGAGCCUGAGGAUGAGGGAGAAGGGACACAGUGCUUGCUCAGCAAAUGUUGGUGAAAAGAGCUGGUGGCAUGAGCGUUCUGAGCCCUCGUGUGCCCUGCAGUCCUUAUAACCAUAGCAGUUGGUAGCCUGCUGUUCACGUCCACAGAUGAGAAACCAGCCCCUGCCUGCAGUAUCCAGGAGUCAGUGGCCUUCAACUGUUCUACCACUCACCUUGCACCUGGCUUCCUCCACACCAGUGAUGCUCAAAGCAUAGUCAGCAGAACAGCAGCAGCAGCAUCUGGACUUGCCGGAGACUGGGACAUGGACCAAGCAAUCCAUGUCUCCCCACAGGAUGCCGGAGUGCUCUGAUACACCAACAGCCGUACAAGUCACUGCUCUGUACCAGUCCUCUCUGGGGUGUGGGAAACACACUUGUGGGUGGAAAGGUGAGGACAGUGACAUGGGAAGGCAGCUGCAGAGUCCAAGGAAAGGUCUUAACAAGUCAAGCUGCUGCAGGAGGGCCAGGCUGGUGGCCUUGGAUGAACAGAGCCCCAUAUAAAUAUUGAGACUUCUGUGUCAACUGGAGGUUAUCAGGUAAGCCAUCCCUGGCCUGGGAAGGACUGGAGGGUGCUCAGACUCAUCCCAGAAGACCACCAAUGAAUGCUACAGGUACUUGGGCCAAAAUCCCUCACCUCCAGGCUGGGACCUGGGAAGCUGCCAUUUGGGCCUGCUACCCGGUGAGUGCAAGCUAACACUUGGGAACCUCUGCAUGGAAGACAUUAGACUAGACAGACCCACAGGGACUGGUUUUGUGAGCUGGUAUAAACCUUUCCCCUCUGUGCCCUGGGAUUCCUCUCUACAGAAGGUAAUCCUGGUAGAAAGAGUUGGAUUCAGGGAUCAGAUUAGCUUGUUACAUCUAAAGGGGAAAUCAAGCUAGAGGUGAGGCAGCAAAGAUCAGGGCAUGAUUUUUGAGCCUGGGGGUGGUAGGGAGCCAUGGAGGAAGUUAGCCCCAAACAGGUGCCUUCCACUUUGCAUUUUCCCAGAUGACAGCCUGAGGCGGCUGAGCUGAGGAGGAAGGAGGACGGGAGGUGGUACUGGUCAGCAUGGGGCACCAACUCUAGGCCACAUUGCCUAAAUUCAAAUCUCUGUUCCAUUCAAGCCCACAGCUGUGGGACCACUGACUUGACCUGUUAGUGUGUUAGUGGCCUAAUCUGCCAAGGGCUCAUGAGAAGAAUUCAAGGCCAUGUGAAGUCCAUGGUCAGUGUAAUGCGUCAUCAGCUCCAUGGGCUCCAUCGGCAAAGCUCUUCCCAUGUCUUUUCGAGCAGAAGCAGGUAGCCAAAUACUGUGGGAAUGUAAGUAUUCUGAGGACCAAGACAGGUAGUGUGGUCAUUGAAGGCCCUCUGAAUAGCUCUGGGGGACAGGAUGACCCUCUGUCACAUUAGAACAGACCCCCCUACACACAACCCCCCAGGAGCGUAGGCCGCCUGCUAGAAACAGAGAGCUCUGGUGGUAAUGCUGACCCUGUCCUCCCAAGCCCUCAGCCCAGGCCUGCCCACAUGACCCAGCUUCCUGUUUGUGAUACCAACAUUGGAGGGAGGAAAUCAACACCCCACCCAGGGCUAGAGGGCAGGAAUGUGGACCUGCUGACGUCAAAGCUUGUCCCAGUUCUGAGGAGAUGGGAUGGGAAGGGUUUCCUGCUGAGCCUCUGAGCCAGCCUGCUCUGCAGGAGUGAGCUGAGCUGUGGGAGCCCACUUAGAACUUUCUCGGUGGGGUGCUACAGGGGUGAACUCAAGUCCUGCCCCAACACAGCUGUAGGACCUGGGCAAAUUAACCCAUGCUUGCAAGCCACUGUUUCCUCUUCUAUAGGAUGGGAACAUCAAUGCUAAUGGAGCCAGGGUACCCAUCUGGUAUAAGAGAAGCCCUCCACUACUGUGAACCUGCUCCUCACUGCAGAAGCCAUAGAGAUCCUUGUCUUCUAGAAAGACGCAAGCCCUCUGGAAUGGAGCCUGCCCUGACUGUCAUGGGCUCCUGUGCCAGCAUCUGCCUGACUGGCAAGGCAGGGAGAGGAAGCCAGUCACCUAGGUGUGAGAUGACUGUUGGUGUGCCCAGGCACCAGGCUGGGUCUGGAGUCCUGCUGUCCUGUCCCACAUUUCUGGAAAGGCACCAUCUAGGUUCUCCACCCUAUGAGACUGGACUUCCCAGCUUGGUACUGGAGGAGAGCUGGCUGGCAUGGAGGACUGACACAGAGAAGACAGGCCCACGGAUGCCCCAAAGAGGGCAAAGCACUUGGGAGGGAGAGACCAGAAGUGGACCUAUCUGGGGCCCCACUGGGCCCUCACUGGGUUGUCUGCUCUCCUUCUCCAUCCCUCUCCAUCUUUCCCAGGACGCCACUUAGGCCCACUGCGGAGCUAGAGAUACCUGGAUUAGAAUCGGGUUUGGCUGUUCUCCAGACUUGCGACCUUGGCCGUGCCCAUCCAUCUCCUGCGUUCCCUGGUACUGCUACACAGACACAGGAGCAUCCCAGUUUCUGAGAAGACAUCACGUCUUUAAAAAAUCUAGUAACCUCCUGUACGACAGAGCAUCGGCUUAAUAAACUCUGGUCCUAGGUAGUUGGUAUGUAAAGGCUUCUUCCUGUAAGUGUCCAGACCCUGGGAGGACCUCCAUGGGUGACCGUAAAUUCCCCUUCCCCAGGUGCCCAGCAGGUGGCAGCAUCGGCCCCUUGUUGGCGCACAGGCACGCUCAAAUAAAUGUU